CUCCUGCCUCAGCCUCCCGAGUAGCUGGAACUACAGAAAUGGUGGAUUUUCUACAAGGCAAAGGAGUUGAAAUUCUGAAGGCUCUUGGGCAGACUCCUGACACCAGGACUCACCACCCCCUACAACCUGCCCCCAAAGCACUGCUGUAGCCCCUUAGUAGGUACACCACCGCCUGCCCCAAGGCACAGGGCCCCUCCUUUAAAACCCCAAGAUCUCUGUUAGUUGGAGAGACGGAUUUGAGGUGGCUUCUUCCAUUCUCCUGCAAGAUGUCUGUGUUUGUGUAUUAAAAGUCCCUUUCUUA